UCAAAUCCAACGACCCGUGAUCACCUUACAAUCCAAUGGCUCAGAUCACUCCCCAACGUCCCACGCGGCCACGCAACGUCCCUUGCGAACUCUAGCGUCUUCCUCUCAAGCGCCGCCGCAGUCGUGUUGCCUCCUGAUCAUCCGCCGCCAGAUCGCCGUCUUUGCUGUCCUCUUAGGUGCAGCCGCUGCGCACACCCACGGUGCGCACCUCCCUUCCCCGGUUCCCCAGCCCAGUGCUGCCCCCCUCCCUUCACCGUGCAAAACCCUAAGCGCCGCCACUACAAGCAGGUACCUUUGCCGCCAGGAGAUCGCCCUCAUGUCACCUCGCUGCCGUCUCACCAGAUCAUCGACGCACCGCCUCGCCAUACCGGUCCGGCGUCGACUCUGCACACGCUUCAGGGGAUCAGGGCAGGACAGAAGGAACACUAUGACCAUGUCCCCAUGGCCCAUGUCCAUGUACGCAUCAAGCUCCUAAGUGAUAAUCUGAUUGCCUGCUGA
rnacentral:lncRNA from 1 species